rnacentral:rRNA from 1 species
AGCAGCCGCGGUAAUUCCAGCUCCAAUAGCGUAUAUUAAAGUUGUUGCAGUUAAAAAGCUCGUAGUUGAAUUUCGAGAUCGGCUUACUGGUCGUGCUUUUGUACGUACUGGUAAAUCGGUUUCUCCUUUCUGACGAACUUUAAUGCCAUUAAUUUGGUGUUUUAGGGAAUCAGGACUGUUACUUUGAAAAAAUUAGAGUGUUUAAAGCAGGCUCACGCUUGAAUACAUUAGCAUGGAAUAACGGAAUAGGACGUUUGAUUCUAUUUUGUUGGUUUCUAGGAUCGACGUAAUGAUUAAUAGGGAUAGUUGGGGGCAUUAGUAUUCAAUUGUCAGAGGUGAAAUUCUUGGAUUUAUUGAAGACUAACUACUGCGAAAGCAUUUGCCAAGGAUGUUUUCAUUAAUCAAGAACGAAAGUUAGGGGAUCGAAGACGAUCAGAUACCGUCGUAGUCUUAACCAUAAACUAUGCCGACUAGGGAUCGGAUGGAUGUUAAUUUUUAAUUGACUCAUUCGGCGCCCUUA